CCUACGGGUGGCAGCAGUGAGGAAUAUUGGUCAAUGGGCGCGAGCCUGAACCAGCCAAGUCGCGUGAGGGAAGACGGUCCUAUGGAUUGUAAACCUCUUUUGUCGGGGAGCAAAAGACGCCACGUGUGGCGUUCCGAGAGUACCCGAAGAAAAAGCAUCGGCUACCUCCGUCCCCGCAGCCGCGGUAAUACGGAGGAUGCGAGCGUUAUCCGGAUUUAUUGGGUUUAAAGGGUGCGCAGGCGGAAGAUCAAGUCAGCGGUAAAAUUGAGAGGCUCAACCUCUUCGAGCCGUUGAAACUGGUUUUCUUGAGUGAGCGAGAAGUAUGCGGAAUGCGUGGUGUAGCGGGGAAAUGCAUAGAUAUCACGCAGAACUCCGAUUGCGAAGGCAGUAUACCGGCGCUCAACUGACGCUCAUGCACGAAAGUGUGGGUAUCGAACAGGAUUAGAUACCCCAGUAGUC
rnacentral:rRNA from 1 species